CAUGCAAGUCGAACGGAACUGUUUUGAAAGAUUUCUUCGGAAUGAAUUUGAUUUAGUUUAGUGGCGGACGGGUGAGUAACGCGUGAGUAACCUGCCUUCAAGAGGGGGAUAACAUUCUGAAAAGAAUGCUAAUACCGCAUGACAUAUCGGAACCACAUGGUUCUGAUAUCAAAGAUUUUAUCGCUUGAAGAUGGACUCGCGUCCGAUUAGUUAGUUGGUGAGGUAACGGCUCACCAAGACCGCGAUCGGUAGCCGGACUGAGAGGUUGAACGGCCACAUUGGGACUGAGACACGGCCCAGACUCCUACGGGAGGCAGCAGUGGGGGAUAUUGCGCAAUGGGGGCAACCCUGACGCAGCAACGCCGCGUGAAGGAUGAAGGUUUUCGGAUUGUAAACUUCUUUUAUUAAGGACGAAACUUGACGGUACUUAAUGAAUAAGCUCCGGCUAACUACGUGCCAGCAGCCGCGGUAAUACGUAGGGAGCAAGCGUUGUCCGGAUUUACUGGGUGUAAAGGGUGCGUAGGCGGCUUUGCAAGUCAGAUGUGAAAUCUAUGGGCUCAACCCAUAAACUGCAUUUGAAACUGUAGAGCUUGAGUGAAGUAGAGGCAGGCGGAAUUCCCCGUGUAGCGGUGAAAUGCGUAGAGAUGGGGAGGAACACCAGUGGCGAAGGCGGCCUGCUGGGCUUUAACUGACGCUGAGGCACGAAAGCGUGGGUAGCAAACAGGAUUAGAUACCCUGGUAGUCCACGCUGUAAACGAUGAUUACUAGGUGUGGGGGGUCUGACCCCUUCCGUGCCGGAGUUAACACAAUAAGUAAUCCACCUGGGGAGUACGGC
rnacentral:rRNA from 1 species